GAUGAACGCUAGCUACAGGCUUAACACAUGCAAGUCGAGGGGAAACGAUAUUGGAAGCUUGCUUCCGAUAGGCGUCGACCGGCGCACGGGUGAGUAACGCGUAUCCAACCUGCCCACCACUUGGGGAUAACCUUGCGAAAGUAAGACUAAUACCCAAUGAUAUCUCUAGAAGACAUCUGAAGGAGAUUAAAGAUUUAUCGGUGAUGGAUGGGGAUGCGGCUGAUUAGCUUGUUGGCGGGGUAACGGCCCACCAAGGCGACGAUCAGUAGGGGUUCGGAGUGGAAGGUCCCCCACAUUGGAGCUGAGACACGGUCCAAACUCCUACGGGAGGCAGAAGUGAGGGAUGUUGGUCAAUGGACGAGAGUCUGAACCAGCCAAGUAGCGUGCAGGAUGACGGCCCUAUGGGUUGUAAACUGCUUUUAUGAGGGAAUAAAGUGAGCCUCGUGAGGCUUUUUGCAUGUACCUUAUGAAUAAGGACCGGCUAAUUCCGCGCCAGCCGCCGCCGUAA
rnacentral:rRNA from 1 species